rnacentral:rRNA from 1 species
AAGUGGAAGUGUGGCGACACAUGGAGCGGACUGAUACUAAUCGGUCGAGGGCUUAUCCUAAAUUU